rnacentral:snoRNA from 1 species
GCACCCUUGGCUACACUCUGAAAUCUACCAAUCUUCACGGUGGUUUAUUUCUAUUUUUGCUCAAGGAAGAAAAAGUAGAUCAGCUGGCCAGAUACUCACCGCGACACUCUGGCAGUCUUGCUCUGUGGGUGUAGAGGUCCAUUUACCUGGCCAACAU